rnacentral:rRNA from 1 species
UACAGAGGGGGCAAGCGUUGUUCGGAAUUACUGGGCGUAAAGGGCGCGUAGGCGGCCUUCUAAGUCGAACGUGAAAUCCCCGGGCUCAACCCGGGAACUGCGUCCGAUACUGGGAGGCUUGAAUUCGGGAGAGGGAUGCGGAAUUCCAGGUGUAGCGGUGAAAUGCGUAGAUAUCUGGAGGAACACCGGUGGCGAAGGCGGCAUCCUGGACCGAGAUUGACGCUGAGGCGCGAAAGCCAGGGGAGCAAACGGG